rnacentral:rRNA from 1 species
AGUGAACGCUGGCGGCAGGCCUAACACAUGCAAGUCGAGCGGCAGCGCGUCCGACCACCCUCGGGUGGUCGGAUGGCGGCGAGCGGCGGACGGGUGAGGAAUGCAUCGGAAUCUGCCUCGUUGUGGGGGAUAACGUAGGGAAACUUACGCUAAUACCGCAUACGAUCUACGGGGUGAAAGUGGGGGACCUUCGGGCCUCACGCGAUGAGAUGAGCCGAUGCCGGAUUAGCUAGUUGGCGGGGUAAAGGCCACCAAGGCGACGAUCCGUAGCUGGUCUGAGAGGAUGAUCAGCCACACUGGAACUGAGACACGGUCCAGACUCCUACGGGAGGCAGCAGUGGGGAAUAUUGGGACAAUGGGGGCAACCCUGAUCCAGCCAUGCCGCGUGUGUGAAG